AUGGUUGCAGGUCCUGACAGGCAUGAUGGCUUCAAAGAUGUCCGCGAUGACUACAACUACACGGAGCCUUCUCUUGCAGCAAAUGCUGGUCUGGUUGCAGCACUGAUUUCCCAACCUGAUGUUGGCACUGCAGGCAAAAGUAGUUGAGUUGAUAAGAACACAAUCUUCUCAGCAAUUCCCCCCAGACAGAAAGGAGACAACGUAAGCUUACAUAGCUUCUAA
rnacentral:rRNA from 1 species